AACGAACGCUGGCGGCAUGCCUAACACAUGCAAGUCGAACGAGACCUUCGGGUCUAGUGGCGCACGGGUGCGUAACGCGUGGGAACCUGCCCUUAGGUUCGGAAUAACUCCCCGAAAGGGGUGCUAAUACCGGAUAAUGUCUUCGGACCAAAGAUUUAUCGCCUUUGGAUGGGCCCGCGUUGGAUUAGCUAGUUGGUAGGGUAAAAGCCUACCAAGGCGACGAUCCAUAGCUGGUCUGAGAGGAUGAUCAGCCACACUGGGACUGAGACACGGCCCAGACCCCUGCGGGGGGCCGCGGGGGGGAAUAUUGGACAGGGGGCGAAAGCCUGAUCCGGAAAGGCCGGGUGAGUGAUGAAGGCCUUAGGGUGGGAAAGCCUUUUUACCGGGGAGGAAAAGAACAGGACCGGGAAAAUAAGCCCCGGCAACCCCGGU
rnacentral:rRNA from 1 species